GGAUUAGAUACCCUAUUAUUUUAGACUUAAAUGUUUAAUUACCUGAAUAUUAAUAGUUAUUUUCUUGAAACUCUAAGAAUUUGGCGGUAAUAUAUUUUUUUAGAGGAACCUGUUUUUUAAUCGAUGAACCACGAUACUUUCUACCUUUUAUAUUUAUUUGUAUACCUCUAUUUAGAAUGUUUUUUUAGGAUAAUUUUCUUUUUCUUUAUAAGUUUAAUUUUAGGUCAAGGUGCAGUUUUUUUUAGGUAAACAUGGGUUAUUUUUUUAAUAAACAACUAGUUAAGUUGUUUUGAAUUUGGAUUUAACAGUAAAUUUAAUUAAUUAAUUAUUUUGAAUAUUUUUUUAUAUUAUGUACAUAUCGCCCGUC
rnacentral:rRNA from 1 species